AGGGAAGAGCCCAAGAUUGAAAGCUGAGACGUCUUCGGCGUCCGCAUUGUAAUCUCAAGAAGUGUUUUCCGCUUCGGACCAUGCCUAAGUCCCUUGGAAAAGGGCAUCAUAGAGGGUGAUAAUCCCGUACAUGGCAUGGAGCGCCCGAAGCUUUGUGAUACGCUUUCUACGAGUCGAGUUGUUUGGGAAUGCAGCUCAAAAUGGGUGGUAAAUGCCAUCUAAGGCUAAAUAUUGGGGAGAGACCGAUAGCGAACAAGUACAGUGAUGGAAAGAUGAAAAGAACUUUGAAAAGAGAGUUAAACAGUACGUGAAAUUGCCAAAAGGGAAGGGUAGGAGGUCAGAGAUGCGUCUUGGGAUUCAGCCUUGCUUUUGCAUGGUGUUUUUCCCAAGUUGCAGGCCAACGUCGGUUUUGGGCACUGGAGAAGGGUAGGAGGAACGUGGCACCUCUCGGGGUGUGUUAUAGCCUCCUACUGGAUACAGCGACCGAGACCGAGGAACGCAGCGUACUCGUAAGAGCGGGCCUUUUGGCACCUUUACGCUUAGGGCGUUGGCAUAAUGGCCCUCUACCACCCGUCUU
rnacentral:rRNA from 1 species